CGUCACCAAGGCGACGAUCCGUAGCGGGUCUGGAGAGGAUGAUCCGCCACACUGGGACUGAGACACGGCCCAGACUCCUACGGGAGGCAGCAGUGGGGAAUUUUGGACAAUGGGCGCAAGCCUGAUCCAGCCAUGCCGCGUGCGGGAAGAAGGCCUUCGGGGUUGUAAAACCGCUUUCGGACAGAAAGAAAUCGCAUGGACUAAUACUCUGUGUGGAUGACGGUACUGUAAGAAGAAGCACCGGCUAACUACGUGCCAGCAGCCGCGGUAAUACGUAGGGUGCGAGCGUUAAUCGGAAUUACUGGGCGUAAAGCGUGCGCAGGCGGAUAUUUAAGUCAGACGUGAAAUCCCCGGGCUUAACCUGGGAAUGGCGUUUGAAACUGGAUGUCUAGAGUGUGGCAGAGGGGGUGGAAUUCCACGUGUAGCAGUGAAAUGCGUAGAGAUGUGGAGGAACACCGAUGGCGAAGGCAGCCCCCUGGGCUAACACUGACGCUCAUGCACGAAAGCGUGGGGAGCUA
rnacentral:rRNA from 1 species